AGGAUGAACGCUAGCGGCAGGCCUAAUACAUGCAAGUCGGACGGGAUUGGAGAGCUUGCUUUCCAUGAGAGCGGCGCACGGGUGCGUAACACGUAUGUAACCUACCUUCGUCAGGGGGAUAGCCUCUCGAAAGAGAGAUUAAGCCCGCAUAAAAUCACAGCACGGCAUUGUGCAAUGAUCAAAUAUUUAUAGGACGAAGAUGGGCAUGCGGAACAUUAGCUAGUUGGUAAGGUAACGGCUUACCAAGGCUACGAUGUUUA
rnacentral:rRNA from 1 species